rnacentral:rRNA from 1 species
GAUGAACGCUGGCUACAGGCUUAACACAUGCAAGUCGAGGGGAAACGACGGGGAAGCUUGCUUCCCCGGGCGUCGACCGGCGCACGGGUGAGUAACGCGUAUCCAACCUGCCUCUGACUGAGGGAUAACCCGUCGAAAGUCGGCCUAAUACCUCAUGGCAUCGUCUGCGGGCAUCCAACGACGAUUAAAGAUUUCAUCGGUCAGGGAUGGGGAUGCGUCUGAUUAGCUUGUUGGCGGGGUAACGGCCCACCAAGGCGACGAUCAGUAGGGGUUCUGAGAGGAGGGUCCCCCACAUUGGAACUGAGACACGGUCCAAACUCCUACGGGAGGCAGCAGUGAGGAAUAUUGGUCAAUGGGCGAGAGCCUGAACCAGCCAAGUAGCGUGCAGGAUGACGGCCCUAUGGGUUGUAAACUGCUUUUAUGCGGGGAUAAAGUGAGGGACGUGUCCUUCAUUGCAGGUACCGCAUAAUAAGGACCGGCUA